CUGUGAGCUCGAUGAGUAGGGCGGGACACGUGGUAUCCUGUCUGAAUAUGGGGGGACCAUCCUCCAAGGCUAAAUACUCCUGACUGACCGAUAGUGAACCAGUACCGUGAGGGAAAGGCGAAAAGAACCCCGGCGAGGGGAGUGAAAAAGAACCUGAAACCGUGUACGUACAAGCAGUGGGAGCACGCUUAGGCGUGUGACUGCGUACCUUUUGUAUAAUGGGUCAGCGACUUAUAUUCUGUAGCAAGGUUAACCGAAUAGGGGAGCCGAAGGGAAACCGAGUCUUAACUGGGCGUUAAGUUGCAGGGUAUAGACCCGAAACCCGGUGAUCUAGCCAUGGGCAGGUUGAAGGUUGGGUAACACUAACUGGAGGACCGAACCGACUAAUGUUGAAAAAUUAGCGGAUGACUUGUGGCUGGGGGUGAAAGGCCAAUCAAACCGGGAGAUAGCUGGUUCUCCCCGAAAGCUAUUUAGGUAGCGCCUCGUGAAUUCAUCUCCGGGGGUAGAGCACUGUUUCGGCAAGGGGGUCAUCCCGACUUACCAACCCGAUGCAAACUGCGAAUACCGGAGAAUGUUAUCACGGGAGACACACGGCGGGUGCUAACGUCCGUCGUGAAGAGGGAAACAACCCAGACCGCCAGCUAAGGUCCCAAAGUCAUGGUUAAGUGGGAAACGAUGUGGGAAGGCCCAGACAGCCAGGAUGUUGGCUUAGAAGCAGCCAUCAUUUAAAGAAAGCGUAAUAGCUCACUGGUCGAGUCGGCCUGCGCGGAAGAUGUAACGGGGCUAAACCAUGCACCGAAGCUGCGGCAGCGACGCUGAUGCGUUGUUGGGUAGGGGAGCGUUCUGUAAGCCUGUGAAGGUGUGCUGUGAGGCAUGCUGGAGGUAUCAGAAGUGCGAAUGCUGACAUAAGUAACGAUAAAGCGGGUGAAAAGCCCGCUCGCCGGAAGACCAAGGGUUCCUGUCCAACGUUAAUCGGGGCAGGGUGAGUCGACCCCUAAGGCGAGGCCGAAAGGCGUAGUCGAUGGGAAACAGGUUAAUAUUCCUGUACUUGGUGUUACUGCGAAGGGGGGACGGAGAAGGCUAUGUUGGCCGGGCGACGGUUGUCCCGGUUUAAGCGUGUAGGCUGGUUUUCCAGGCAAAUCCGGAAAAUCAAGGCUGAGGCGUGAUGACGAGGCACUACGGUGCUGAAGCAACAAAUGCCCUGCUUCCAGGAAAAGCCUCUAAGCAUCAGGUAACAUCAAAUCGUACCCCAAACCGACACAGGUGGUCAGGUAGAGAAUACCAAGGCGCUUGAGAGAACUCGGGUGAAGGAACUAGGCAAAAUGGUGCCGUAACUUCGGGAGAAGGCACGCUGAUAUGUAGGUGAAGUCCCUCGCGGAUGGAGCUGAAAUCAGUCGAAGAUACCAGCUGGCUGCAACUGUUUAUUAAAAACACAGCACUGUGCAAACACGAAAGUGGACGUAUACGGUGUGACGCCUGCCCGGUGCCGGAAGGUUAAUUGAUGGGGUUAGCGCAAGCGAAGCUCUUGAUCGAAGCCCCGGUAAACGGCGGCCGUAACUAUAACGGUCCUAAGGUAGCGAAAUUCCUUGUCGGGUAAGUUCCGACCUGCACGAAUGGCGUAAUGAUGGCCAGGCUGUCUCCACCCGAGACUCAGUGAAAUUGAACUCGCUGUGAAGAUGCAGUGUACCCGCGGCAAGACGGAAAGACCCCGUGAACCUUUACUAUAGCUUGACACUGAACAUUGAGCCUUGAUGUGUAGGAUAGGUGGGAGGCUUUGAAGUGUGGACGCCAGUCUGCAUGGAGCCGACCUUGAAAUACCACCCUUUAAUGUUUGAUGUUCUAACGUUGACCCGUAAUCCGGGUUGCGGACAGUGUCUGGUGGGUAGUUUGACUGGGGCGGUCUCCUCCUAAAGAGUAACGGAGG
rnacentral:rRNA from 1 species